UGCAAGUCGAACGGUGAAGCCCAGCUUGCUGGGUGGAUCAGUGGCGAACGGGUGAGUAACACGUGAGCAACCUGCCCUCCACUUCGGGAUAAGCCUUGGAAACGGGGUCUAAUACCGGAUAUGAGCACUCAUCGCAUGGUGGGUGUUGGAAAGUUUUUCGGUGGGGGAUGGGCUCGCGGCCUAUCAGCUUGUUGGUGGGGUGAUGGCCUACCAAGGCGUCGACGGGUAGCCGGCCUGAGAGGGCGACCGGCCACACUGGGACUGAGACACGGCCCAGACUCCUACGGGAGGCAGCAGUGGGGAAUAUUGCACAAUGGGCGCAAGCCUGAUGCAGCGACGCCGCGUGAGGGAUGACGGCCUUCGGGUUGUAAACCUCUUUCAGCAGGGAAGAAGCGCAAGUGACGGUACCUGCAGAAGAAGCGCCGGCUAACUACGUGCCAGCAGCCGCGGUAAUACGUAGGGCGCAAGCGUUGUCCGGAAUUAUUGGGCGUAAAGAGCUCGUAGGCGGUCUGUCGCGUCUGGUGUGAAAUCCCGAGGCUCAACCUCGGGCUUGCAUCGGGUACGGGCAGACUAGAGUGCGGUAGGGGAGACUGGAAUUCCUGGUGUAGCGGUGGAAUGCGCAGAUAUCAGGAGGAACACCGAUGGCGAAGGCAGGUCUCUGGGCCGCAACUGACGCUGAGGAGCGAAAGCAUGGGGAGCGAACAGGAUUAGAUACCCUGGUAGUCCAUGCCGUAAACGUUGGGCACUAGGUGUGGGGCUCAUUCCACGAGUUCCGUGCCGCAGCUAACGCAUUAAGUGCCCCGCCUGGGGAGUACGGCCGCAAGGCUAAAACUCAAAGGAAUUGACGGGGGCCCGCACAAGCGGCGGAGCAUGCGGAUUAAUUCGAUGCAACGCGAAGAACCUUACCAAGGCUUGACAUGUACGAGAACACGCUAGAGAUAGCGGACUCUUUGGACACUCGUAUACAGGUGGUGCAUGGUUGUCGUCAGCUCGUGUCGUGAGAUGUUGGGUUAAGUCCCGCAACGAGCGCAACCCUCGUCCUAUGUUGCCAGCGGGUUAUGCCGGGGACUCAUGGGAGACUGCCGGGGUCAACUCGGAAGAAAGGUGGGGAUGACGUCAAAUCAUCAUGCCCCUUAUGUCUUGGGGCUU
rnacentral:rRNA from 1 species